GAUGAACGCUAGCGGCGGGCUUAAUACAUGCAAGUCAAGGGGUAGCAAUACACCGGCGUACGGGUGCGUAACGCGUAUGGAACCUGCCCUUAUCUGGGGGAUAACUCGGGGAAACUCGAGCUAAUACCGCAUAAGAUAGUAAAGAGGCAUCUCUUAGCUAUUAAAGAUUUAUCGGAUAAGGAUGGCCAUGCGUAAGAUUAGAUAGUUGGCGAGGUAACGGCUCACCAAGUCUACGAUCUUUAGGGGCUCUGAGAGGAGAAUCCCCCACACCGGCACUGAGAUACGGGCCAGACUCCUACGGGAGGCAGCAGUAGGGAAUAUUGGGCAAUGGGCGGAAGCCUGACCCAGCCACGCCGCGUGCAGGAAGACGGCCCUCUGGGUUGUAAACUGCUUUUAACUGGGAAGAAAGCAGCUCAUGCGUGAGAAUUUGACGGUACCAGUUGAAUAAGCCACGGCUAACUACGUGCCAGCCGCCGCGGUAAAAC
rnacentral:rRNA from 1 species